CUCUAUUGACCCGAAACUUUCUCUUCUUCCUGUGAAAGCUUAAGCUCUGAUUCUCGUUGUUGCUCUUGAGUGUAACAAUGAUCUUUCAUAAUGAUUUUCUGGAUAGAAUCUCUCCCUAGACGUAGAUCUCUUCACAUCGACGAAUUGAACUAGAAGCUGUUCGACAGAUUGCCCAAGAGAGAUAUCAAUCUGCUAAUGCAUACAAGGUGUUUGAUAAAAUGCUUGAGAGAGAUCUUGUGGCUUGAAAUUUUGUGAUUAAUGGUGUUGCAGAAAACGGUAAACUAAACGAAGUUUUGGCGCUUUAUACUUAAGGGUAUAAAGUCUAAUGGGUUCACAAUCGUUAGCUUGUUGUCUACUUGUGAAAAGUUUGGUGCUUUGAUAGUAAGUAAGAGAGUUUAUGUAUAUAUUAUGAUCAAAGUGGGUUUGACACGAA